rnacentral:rRNA from 1 species
UACGAAGGGGGCUAGCGUUGCUCGGAAUUACUGGGCGUAAAGCGCACGUAGGCGGCUUUCUAAGUCGGGGGUGAAAUCCUGGAGCUCAACUCCAGAACUGCCUUCGAUACUGGAGAGCUCGAGUCCGGGAGAGGUGAGUGGAACUGCGAGUGUAGAGGUGAAAUUCGUAGAUAUUCGCAAGAACACCAGUGGCGAAGGCGGCUCACUGGCCCGGGUACUGA